ACCCGGAGCUUGGCCGCCUGUUGGGGACGGCGGCUGAGGCUGAGGCGUUGCCUGUUGCUCAGGCGCGAGUUCCUGUGCCACUGGCGCCGGCGCCGCAGCCGGUGCAGACGCAUCGGCCGGAGCGGCACAGGUGCGGAGAGCCUGACAAUGAAAAUGCCAAAAAUUAUUUGACGGAGAAACUGGAACUAGGGAUCUGGUGCUCCGAUGGCAAUUGCAAUUUUUAUUCGGCCCGCCAACAGCAGGGUAUCAAUUUGGCCCCAUGCAACUUAUGUGUGGCACAAGUUCCUGUGCAUUUAUCCAGCAGAAUUUCACCAGCAGCACACGAAUUGCAGCACAGAAGGCGCAGCAGAUGCUAGCAAACUACUUUAGCAGAGCCACAAAGGAACAUGCACUGAGGAGAUGAAGCAGAGUGAAGCCAGGGUAUGUCCGAGCGGUGAGGUUGUGGCUGUGGUUCUGUGUGCAGGCAUCACAUUCCGGCAGGGCAGGACCCGGCUAGGAGGAGGGCACACAGGUACAGGCGUUUGCUAACGGAGGGAUCACUAACAGGGCAGCCUGACAAUGUCGGCCAGAGCACAUUCCAAUGGUGGCCCAGAUGACAGUGACUGCAGGAGUCAGGAUGAACUCUUGAGGCAUACCUUGUUGGCCCUUAUUUGGACCCUGGAUUUGUUUAAAGCUCUUGCGAGCUUUGAUAUUGCUGCCGGCCUGGAGCGUGCUGCUGUCGGGCUUCUAGGACCCAGUUGCUAGCCUUGUAUGCCUGUUUGCAAUCAGGCAGAUAGUUUUAUCAUUGUGCGCGAGUGGUACCGUUCAGGAAUGCUUGAUAAGCUUGCCUUCAAGUGGGGGCAUGGAGUUGAAGGGACGUUGCUUAAUGUACACAAGAAUUGGUGCACAGCAUCAGGAUGUACCGCUGUAAAUCAC
rnacentral:lncRNA from 1 species